rnacentral:rRNA from 1 species
GACGUAGGGUGCAAGCGUUGUCCGGAAUUAUUGGGCGUAAAGAGCUCGUAGGCGGUUUGUCGCGUCUGCUGUGAAAACGCGAGGCUCAACCCCGCGCCUGCAGUGGGUACGGGCAGACUAGAGUGCGGUAGGGGAGAUUGGAAUUCCUGGUGUAGCGGUGGAAUGCGCAGAUAUCAGGAGGAACACCGAUGGCGAAGGCAGAUCUCUGGGCCGUAACUGACGCUGAGGAGCGAAAGCGUGGGGAGCGAACAGG